GGUGGGGUGGCCGAGUCUGGUUGAAGGCGAUGGUUUGCUAAACCAUUGGGGGUUAAAAGCUCCCACGUGGGUUCAAAUCCCACCCCCACCGCCA
rnacentral:tRNA from 1 species